rnacentral:rRNA from 1 species
AGAGUUUGAUCAUGGCUCAGGAUAAACGCUGGCGGCGCACAUAAGACAUGCAAGUCGAACGAACUUAACUCAUUCUUUUAGUUUGAGAGCGGUUAGUGGCGGACUGGUGAGUAACACGUAAGCAACCUGCCUAUUAGAGGGGAAUAACAGUGAGAAAUCAUUGCUAAUACCGCAUAUGCUAACAGUAUCGCAUGAUACAGUUAGGAAAGGAGUAAUCCGCUAAUAGAUGGGCUUGCGUCUGAUUAGCUAGUUGGUGGGGCAACGGCCUACCAAGGCGACGAUCAGUAGCCGGACUGAGAGGUUGAACGGCCACAUUGGGACUGAGAUACGGCCCAGACUCCUACGGGAGGCAGCAGUCGGGAAUAUUGCGCAAUGGAGGAAACUCUGACGCAGUGACGCCGCGUAUAGGAAGAAGGUUUUCGGAUUGUAAACUAUUGUCGUUAGGGAAGAUACAAGACAGUACCUAAGGAGGAAGCCCCGGCUAACUAUGUGCCAGCAGCCGCGGUAAUACAUAGGGGGCAAGCGUUAUCCGGAAUUAUUGGGUGUAAAGGGUGCGUAGACGGAGGAGCAAGUUGGUUGUGAAAUCCCUCGGCUUAACUGAGGAACUGCAACCAAAACUACUUCCCUUGAGUGUCGGAGAGGAAAGUGGAAUUCCUAGUGUAGCGGUGAAAUGCGUAGAUAUUAGGAGGAACACCAGUGGCGAAGGCGACUUUCUGGACGAUAACUGACGUUGAGGCACGAAAGUGUGGGGAGCAAACAGGAUUAGAUACCCUGGUAGUCCACACUGUAAACGAUGGAUA